rnacentral:lncRNA from 1 species
GGCAUCAACACAAACAAAAAGUGCCAAUGGGAAAUACCUUUGGCCCAAUGCAUGACCCUUGCCAGUUCGGAGCAAACUUGAUUCAACCUUAUCUUGUUGUGGAAGAAUGCAUUUCAACACUGAAUGAUUUACCUCAAACUGCUUGAGAGGAAUUUCGUUGUUGUAUGCUCUUAUCAACCUCUUGAUUUCCCAGACUAAUUGCCUCAGUUUCACUCAAUUCAAGCUUUAGGUUAUCUCAAGAUGCGUGAAUCUUUACUUGUUUCCUCAAAUGCCUCAUUUUAUCAUAUUCAAACUGUGUCAUUGCUUCAUGAUUAGACUAAAUUUCAAGACUAGACUGAGAAUUAUGCGUGCAUGUUAUGUCACUAGAGUCAGCAUGAAAAAAACUAUAAGAGGAAAAAUCACCUAAACAAAACUGACUAGAACUAACAGAAAACAUGAGAUUGCAUUAGGCAGAUGGUGAAAAGGGUUUGAACAAAACAAGAAAAAUAGACAUGGGUUACAACCCUGGAACAAUCCUAAAUAACGCUAAACGAGUUAGUACAACUAAACGAACUAGACAAAAUGAAAAGAAGAAGAAGAGUUUGAGCCACAAGAAAAUAUCCGAAUUACAAUCUUGAAAUAACCCGGACAAACAGAAAUGACAACAAAAUAAAUCACCAAAACUCUUCCUUGGCUAGCCAAGAAAGGAGUGUCUUUCCAAUCACUAAGCUCGACAUCUUAGCCAGUGGAUUGCACAUCAAAAUUGUUGGGACCUUUACCAAUUUCACUAUCGUUAACUUCAGUCAGCAUGUCACCAAAGUGUGCAUCAUCAUGUGCAGGUAAAGGAUUCUGCGCGAUAUUCUGGGUGUCAUUGUCCUGGACCACAAUUAUCCCUUCUUGAAUCAUUCUUUCUAUCUCUAUUUUAAAAUCCCGACAACUUUCGACAUUGUUCCCCUGGGCAUUAGAAUGGUAUUCACACCUUUUAGAAGAGUCAAAGCUUUUUGCACGCUUGUCCACAUGAUUCAGAGGAAUAGGUGCAAUCAGGUCAUAAUGCUUUAGUUUCUCAAACAAGUUUGCAUAUGACUCUCCUAUCGGUGUAAAAUUAUAUUUCAACCUUUGUUUACCUCUGUCCCCCUGGCUUGGAUGUGGGUUAUGAGACACUUGAAAAUUUUGUGGAGGCUGGUGGAGAUUUUGCACUGAUGGCGCUCGCCUUCUGGGGUGUCUUGGUGGCUGGACAACAUACUGGGGUGGAGCAACAGAGUACUGUGGGUUCUCAGGGGAAUUGUCAUAAAACAAACGAGGCUGGUCAUGCCUUCGAGAUGUUCUUAUAGGACCUCUUCUCGACCAUGAUGUCAUCAUGAUUUCUUCAACCUUCUCACUCGUGCCACUAAAAUUACUAGAUUCAAUUUGGACAGCCUGAGUUGCAGCUUUGAAAGUUGCUUGAAUUAUAAUUUUGCCUGUCUUGAGGCCAUUCUCUACUAUUUCUCCCAUUUUGAUUGCUUCCGAGAAUGAUUUGCCAACUGCGGAUAUCAUGUUUUGAAAGUAAUCAGGCUCUUGAGCCAGGAAGACAGUGAUUAGUUCGUGGUCAUCCAUGGGUGGCUUAACUCUAGCAGCUUGUUCUCUCCAUUUAAUGACAUAUUCCCUGAAACGUUUAGUCGGUUUCUUCUUUAGAUUUGAAAGGGAAUUGUGGUCUGGGGUAAUGUCGAUUUUAUAUUGGAACUAUUUGACAAAGGCAUGUGCCAUGUCAUCCCAUACAUACUAGCAAGAUGUGUCUUGACCCAUAAACCAUUCGGAGGCUACACCCGUAAGGCUUUCCCCAAAGUAAGCCAUCAGUAAUUCUUCAUUUCCUCCCGCACCUCUCAGUUUAUUGCAAUACCUUUUUAGGUGGGAUAUGGGGUCUCCAUGUCCAUCAUACAUUUCAAAUUUGGGAGUCUUUAAACCAAGUGGCAAACGAACAUCAGGGAACAUGCAUAGAUCCUUGAACACAAUACUCUUAUGACUUGCCAGCUCUUGCAUGUUUUUCAACUGUUGUUCUAAGCGUUUCAGUCUUUGGGUUAUUUCUUCCGAUGCUACCUUUGGGCCAGACUUCUCAAUCUUUGCAGGAAGAUCAAAUAGGUAAGAGUUGUACUCAGGAGGUGGUAUUGUUCUUGUUGGGUAGCAAAUUGUGACUCAUGAGUUUUACUCUGCACCACCGCUGGCUGUGGCGUGGUGAAGACAGGCAUAACUGUAGUGGUUGUCUGAUUGGUUGUCAAUGGCAAACUUUGGGAGUAUGCAACAGAAGUUUUAGCUAUAGUCGUGCAAUUGGGAUAAAGACUGAACCUAAAUGGAUAGAAUUGAUUGGACAAUAAAACCAGAGUGGUAGUAGCCAAGAUGGGUGUAAACUCUGGGAAAGCAUAGGAAAGGGCUGGUCCUUGACCAUUUCCCAUACUUGACACAUUUCAGACAUUUGUUGUUUCAGCAUUUGGACCUCCUCGUUCAAUUCAGAUUCCGACUCCACAAUCUCCCUCGAUGGGUCGACAACUCCCAUAUCCAAGUCUUUGCUUGCCAUGACUUCCUUGCUUUUUGACCUUGUGUCGUAUGGACAAAUCACCAAAGUGCCACAAACUAACCACCCUCUGUUAUAAUGAGAGUAACAAAGAGGAGCAAAACAAAGCCAAUAUGUUAGCGUUAGGACAUUUAUCAGAUAGAAAUAUCACAUUGUGUGAAAUGCCCCUAACAACAAUUAAUGGCUCUAAAAUGACUUCGAGGGCCACAAGGUCAUUUGGCAUCAUCCCAAUUUUGUUCAUUUCAAUUUUCUCUUUUCUUUCUUUUCUAAUACUUCUUGGCUCACUCAUUUUCCUUCCUCUCUUUUCUUUUUAAUCGUCAUACUUUUCUUUCCUCUCAUUUCUCACAUCCCACAACUUUUUUUUUCUUUUUUGAUAAUGAUUCGAUCGAACCCUAUGUAGGUUGCCUACGUAUCAUGCACUUCAUGAAUCAGAUCAAGCGUAGUUCUGGAAAAAUGAUGGACAAAAUAAACUAAGAAACACAAAAUCUUUUUUGGAAUUUUUCAUUUAAUAAUCUUUUUUGUUUUUUCAAAUACAAAAUAGGAAGUACUAUAACAAAAGACUCAAAAAUCUUAACUAGACUGACAGACUCGAUACUACUGUAUAAGACUAAUAAUUAAAAGACAACAUAAAAUAGACUAAAAAAUAAAAAGUUUCCUCAAGCAACUCGUGCAUGCAAUGGCCUUAACUAGAAUGGUCCUGGGUAUUUGUCAUGCUCAAACUCUAGAAAAUUGAUCUAUACCUGAAGGAGAAAAAUAAGAUCAAAUAGAGUUAGCGGCUCAAGACACUAUGCGACGCCACAACACCUCCUAUGGGACACAAGCAAGACGCGAUUGGGCUAUUUGUGAAAAUUAACUUAUGUGGCCAAGAGUGGAUAAAAGUGUAGACUCAACAAGUUGACCCCAUAGACAUGAAAAAUGCCUCACUAAGUCUUAUAUGGAUUCAAAUUCCCAAUAAUCAAGGCCAAAAAAAUUAAUUUGCAGAAAUGACCCAUUUUGCAAAAAUGGCAUAUGUGGCCGAAAGUGGCUAAAGAUGCAAACUCAAAAAGGAAGGACCUUAAAGUAAUAUGACACCGAGUUGUGGAUUCAAGAUCCUAAGACAUGGGUAAUUGAACCAUUUUUGCGAAAAUGACCCCAUUUUGCAAGAAUGGCCGAUGUGGCCAAAAGUGGCUAGACAUGCAAGAAUUGGCUAGGACCCCGCGAAGCCAAGAACCUAGGACUUACUAGGAAGACCGGACCCUAUGUGAGUUGCCUACGUAUCGUGUCUCGAAAGACGAGAAUCAGGUUCGCGUAGUUCGGGAAGAUUGGACAUGGAAGAAAGCCUUUAAAAAAAUGCAACUAAUUUGGAAAAACUAUAUUUUUUGGCUUUUUGAGAAAUGAUGGAAAAUGUAAAAUCUUUCUGGUUUUUCUUUUUCUCCUUUUUUUUUGAAUUUUUGGAAAAUGAUGGAAAAGUGCAAAAUCUUUUUUUUUUAUUUUCAUUUUUUUGUCUUUUCUUGAAAACGUUGUGAAAGAAAAAUAUAACUAGGCCCUACUUGCUUCAUUUUUCACCCUUCUUUCCCAAAGUAUCGAUCCGUAAAAUGACCUUUUUACCCUCAAAGAUGUAACAUGUUUCACAUAGGGAUGAUUUAAUGUCCUUUUGGGCCACGAGCCCAUUUUGACAAAACUUGGAUAGGCUUCCUACAAAGGGAUACGGUACCUGGGACCGAGCCCUGCUAGGUCUAAAUGACAUGAUGCAAGUAAGAAUGACCUAAAGGCUGACCUAAAUUUGGGGUUCACUAACAAGGCAAUUCGGGGGAGCGUAUGGUCGUUGGUGGCUGCUCAAGCUUUCCACCCACUCCAUACGUCCGACGGCCCCUCCUCCUAAAUUAAGGGUGACUCAACAAAGAGUUCGUGCACGCGACGCAUACUCUAAGACUUGUUGCAGAAAGAAGACUCAUGGUUAUGCAAAUGAUGACAGUUUAUAAAGCAGUAACACAUUAAGAAAAGCCAUAAAUAAAUAAACAACAAAACAAGAAAAUAAGACAAACAAAGCAAAUAAAGAAAACAAACACCUCAACCGAAUAUCCUAAAAACCAACAAGAUCAAGUACUAGCUCGAACCUGCAAGUCCCCAACAGAGUCGCUAGAGAUGUCACACCCCUUUUUUGCUACAAACCUCACUAACCCUCCUAAAAUAUAUAAAAGGAUUUGUAAAGCUUGAAAAUGGUUUUAAUUAAAAAGUGACAAAAAUUGUGUUCAAAAAGAUUUUUUUAGAGUCGCCACCUGACAUUGGUUUCGAUGUGCCAGGUCACCAUUUUUAAAAUGAUUUUUCUUUUAAAACACUUUAGACUCCAAAACCAAUUCUGCACCAGAGAUUCGGGUAAGGGGGUUCAUUUGACUUGGGGAGAAGGUGUUAGGCACUCCCUAAGUCCCGUAACUAGUAUGGUUGCAUACUUGAUCUAAUCAGCUUUUAAAAUAUUCAAGUUGAGAUAAAAACAAACACAAAAAAGAAAAGGAAAAAAUACACAAGAGGCUCGAGGUCGUUCCCGCCUAAUAAAAGAAAAAUAAAAAUAAAUAUAAAAUAAGUCCUCCUAGCCUAUACUAUGCCUCCAUUGAUGAUGCCACGGUCUCCAUUUACAUUUACUUCGGGGUAUUCCACGGAUAAAAAUAUAUACAAAUCCUUCGGGGCAUUCCCCGAAUAAAUUUAACUAAGAGGAACGACCUCUCACCUCAAAACUAACAAAAUCCUAAGGUUUGCCUACCCGCAUGUGGUCGGCCUAAGUAUGUUCCUAACGAAAGUAUCGAACAACAAAAUUAAUUUAAAUUACGACUCAACUUAACAAAUUGGCAUGGUAAAACAGUAAUCUAACAGCAAACUCGAGUACCAUUAAUUCUAAUCACUGUUGCGGUCUAUUUUAUGCUCUCGAUGAGGUUUAGCCAAAAAUUGGUAACCACACAGACCAUGUGCAUUCAUCACUCUAAAGAAAACCAAUAAAAAUUCACUUCAGUAAACACACCACGAGCAGAACAACCAUUCAACAUUCAUAACCAGCAAAGAUUGAGCACAGAACACAUAUAGUAAAAUUCAAAAUCAAAGUAAGAGAUGAACCUCAAAAUGAUAGCUUUUUCCGAUAACAGUAGCAGUGACGAAACAUGAAUCGAGACCAGAGCUUGACCGGAAAUCCUCGUCGGCAACCUCGAGCUCCGACCAAGCACCGGAAAAUUUCGAAUCGAACCCAAAUGCCUCAACUACUCCAUUCCGAUACAACUUGUGAAAUUUAUAUAGCCAUAAAGUCCAGACACUGUAGCUCUCAAUUUUUGACAAUAAACAUGAUGAGAAAUGAAGUAGAGAUACGAAUUUGAAUUUGGAAAGUAAGAUUUAACAAUUGUUUUCACUUUUCAUAUUUGUACGACUUUUGUACAAUUGAAUCUGGGAAUUAACGUGUGGUACUUUGUUAUGAUUGCUAAUGGGCUUCUCUUGUUCCUCUCCCAAUUUUGGACAGAGAUUCGCCGUCCUUUUAAACGUGAGUAGAGUGACG